rnacentral:rRNA from 1 species
ACUCAAAUGAAUUGACGGGGACCCGCACAAGCAGCGGAGCGUGUGGUUUAAUUCGAUGCAACGCGAAGAACCUUACCAGGGCUUGACAUGCAUUUGCAAGGCUGUGAAAGCAGCCCCUCCUUCGGGACAGAUGCACAGAUGUUGCAUGGCUGUCGUCAGCUCGUGUCGUGAGAUGUUGGGUUAAGUCCCGCAACGAGCGCAACCCUUGUUUCUAGUUGACAAUCUAGAGAGACUGCCGGAAACAAACCGGAGGAAGGUGGGGAUGACGUCAAGUCAGCAUGACUCUUACGUCCUGGGCUACACACACGCUACAAUGGACGGUACAGCGAGAAGCCACCCCGCGAGGGGGAGCAGAUCUCUAAAAACCGUCCCCAGUUCAGAUUGCACUCUGCAACCCGAGUGCAUGAAGUCGGAGUUGCUAGUAACCGCGUGUCAGCAUAGCGCGGUGAAUAUGUUCCCGGGUCUUGUACACACCGCCCGU